GGUGGGCUUGGUGGUACUACCCACUGUGAAACCAUUCCGAACGUAGGUAUGGGAAUGGGCUAUGGUAUAGGUGGGACUGGUGGCGCUACCGUCUUUGAAACCAUUCCAAACGUAGGUAUGGGAAUGGGCUACGGUAUGGGUGGGCUAGGCAUGGGUGGGAUUGGUGGUGCUACCGUCUAUGAAACGAUUCCAACCGUAGGCUAUGGAAUGGGCUACGGAAUGGGUGGGAUUGGAAUGGGUGGGAUUGGUGGUGCUACCGUCUGUGAAACGAUUCCGAACGUAGGCUAUGGAAUGGGCUACGGCAUGGGUGGUCCAGGCAU